GCAGCACCGGUACAAUGAGCAGCAACCAGCAGCAACUGCAAGUCACUCUAGUUCACCACCACCAUUACCACUAAACCUGUAACUACACCGUAACUACCACCAGCAGUACAUCACCACGACCACCACAGCCACCUGCUACAUCAACUACUAAAUAUCACUAACAUUAGUACACACACAUAAAUUGCUAAACAGUGAGAGUAACUGCUUGUUACUGUUGUGGGUCGAUUGUUAUUUUAGUUGUUGUUCUUACUGUUAGUAUUCCACUCCCUCUGGACAACACAUUAUUCUACCUGACCAAGGAUUCUAACGCUGGAGAUGUACUACGGUGUCAGCUGUUCGCUACCAGUGGACUAAGGAGCUAAACAUAGAGGAGACAAACAAGGACAGACGAAGGGAUUACAUCGACCCCAGUGCGUAACUGGUACUUAAUUUAUCGACCUCGAAAGGAUGAAAGGCAAAGUCGACCUCGGCGAAAUUUGAACUCAGAACGUAACGGCAGACGAAAUACCGCUAAGCAUUUCACUCGGCGUGCUAACGUUUCUGCCAGCUCGCCGCCUAUAACUUCCAGUUAUUUCUCUUAGCUCAAUUUUAUUUAAAUUAUGCAAAUUACCUAGGCCAUAACAAAUUACCUUUGCAUAAGUCUAAGUCGUUUGGCUAGUGCAUGUAAGAUUGGGCAAUUGUCGUGCCAGAAACAUUUGUUCACGACCGUCCGCUUACCUGCAGACAAUAAGCUUGUUCUUUUUUUCCCUUGUCAGAAAUCCUUGAACCUUGAAACUGUCUCCCUUUAUCAAGUGGAGCUGGUCGUAUUGUUUGAUAAUUACGAUACACCUGCUAGAGGCGGAGAAAACUUUGAUAAAUCAAAAAUUAUUUAAUACAGUUCUAUAUUUAAGAGAUGAGGAAUUAUGUACAUUAUUUACAUUUAACGGAUAUUUGUCCUCAUCUUGUUUUUUGUUGUUAACACAACAUUUCGGCUGAUAUACUCUCCUGCCUUCAUCAGGUGUCUUAGGGAAUUUUCUAACCUGGGUUCUCAUUCCUAAGGUAUUUUUCGAUGUUAUCAUUAUUAUUUUUAUUAUUCAGAUCACUGACUGGAAUCGAACAAAGAAUUUUGGGGUUAGUAGCCCGCGCUCUUAACCACUACGAGCAUAUGGCGUAGUGGUUAAGAGCGCGGGCUACUAACUCCAAAAUUCCGAGUUCGAUUCCAGGCAGUGACCUGAAUAAUAAAAAUAAUAUGUAAAUAAUGUACAUAAUUCCUCAUUUCAUAAAAAUUAUUUUGCAUGGUAUUUGACAUACCAAUAUUUCUUUCACUCUCCCCCUCUCUAUCUCUCUCUUUCUCUCAAUACACACACACACACACACACACACAUGUCUGUGUGUGUAGCAGAGAUAUCCGGCAUUGCUCGGGAUUAAAAUGGCAUAGUUUUUUAUUGUUUUACUUGUUUCAGUCAUGUGACUGCGGCCAUGCUGCAGCACUGCUUUUAGUCGAAGUAAUCGACUCCAGGAUUUAUUCUUUGUAAGCCUAGUACUUAUUCUAUCGGUGUGUUUUGUUAAAUGGCUAAGUUACGGGGACGUAAACACAGCAACAUCGGUUGUCAAGCGAUGAUGCGGCUACAAAAACACACACACCACAAAUAUACACAUAUAUCCGACAGUCUUCUUUCAAUUUCCGUGUACGAAAUCCACUCACAAGGCUGUGGUGGGCCUGAGGCUAUAGUACAUAUAUAUAGGCGUAGGAGUGGCUGUGUGGUAAGUAGCUUGCUUACCAACCGCAUGGUCCCGGGUUCAGUCCUGGGUUCAGUCCCACUGCGUGGCAUCUUGGGCAAGUGUCUUCUACUAUAGCCUCGGGUCGACCAAAGCCUUGUGAGUGGAUUUGGUAGACGGAAACUGAAAGAAGCCCGUCGUAUAUAUGUAUAUAUAUAUGUAUGUGUGUAUGUGUUUGUCCCCCCAACAUCGCUUGACAACCGAUGCUGGUGUGUUUAUGUCCCCGUAACUUAGCGGUUCGGCAAAAGAGACCGAUAGAAUAAGUACUAGGCUUACAAAGAAUAAGUCCUGGUGUUGAUUUGCUCGACUAAAGGCGGUGCUCCAUCAUGGCCACAUGGCACUGGAAACACAUAGGAUUAUUAAAAGUAAGAGACAACCGCAAUCUCUCAAGUUAUUCACCAGCACCAAAUUACCCACCAAAAAUACAACUCCACUAGUCAAAAAGUGCAACCGCCCUUACUGCGGAACUUGAAUCUUCCUCUUAGAGGGCUCAACAUACAAAUUUUAGUCAAGUCAAACUUUUACCGUAAAAAAUCACUUCACCUGUGCUUCGAAGAAUUUAAUCUAUGUUCUCAAAUGUGGAGGGUGUGGUGGAGAUUAUAUAGGUCAGACUAGUUUAACCUUGAGAGACAGACUAACAGUGCAAAAGCAACAAAUCCGAGACCCCACGACUAGGAAAACUCCCGUAAGCAAACAUCGAGACCAUUGAGACAUAGACCCGAAAUACCAAACCUUCCCUCUCUAUCAAUGCACUGGAAACACUUCAACCCAAUUCCGUAUAAAUAAGGAAAGCAUACUCAUUAAAAAAUAUAAAACCACAGCUGAAUAUCCUUUAGAAAGAAUAAAAACAAUAAAGGGAAAAAGAAAAAGACUCAAUCUCUCCAGAAAAAAACAACCAGGAACAACAAACAAUUUUAAAAACGAGAGUUCGUACGCACGAUGGAAAGAGGAUCAGAGAAACUAUAAACCAAAUCCCUUUUUUGCUUGCUGUCUUCGUUAUCUCCCUUGUUUUCUUUUUCUCUCUUAACUCAGUAUGACUGAAACUUUGAUGAUAUUCAUUUCAUGUCUAUCAAUACUACCAGUAAUGAGCUUUGUACAUUCAAACAAAUUGAUGCACAGUUUUAAUAUUAUUGAUUGUUAUGAAUAUUUAAACUUGACAACAUUGACAUUUUUUAACAUGUUUUUCUAAUUCAUAAUUCCAAAUUUGUCUGUUAUGAACAUUUAAAUUUGUCAACAUUGAAACUUUUAAAGAUGCUUUCUUCUAAUUCAUAAUUCUAAAUUUUUACAAAAAAAUAUUGUUGAAAAUAGUUU